UACGGAGGGGGCUAGCGUUGUUCGGAAUUACUGGGCGUAAAGCGCGCGUAGGCGGCUUUGUAAGUUAGAGGUGAAAGCCCAGGGCUCAACCCUGGAAUUGCCUUUAAGACUGCAUCGCUUGAACAUCGGAGAGGUAAGUGGAAUUCCGAGUGUAGAGGUGAAAUUCGUAGAUAUUCGGAAGAACACCAGUGGCGAAGGCGACUUACUGGACGAUUGUUGACGCUGAUGCGCGAAAGCUAGGGGAGCGAACGGG
rnacentral:rRNA from 1 species